UACGUAGGGGGCAAGCGUUGUCCGGAUUUAUUGGGCGUAAAGAGCGUGUAGGCGGCCAGGUAGGUCAGCUGUGAAAACUCGAGGCUCAACCUCGAGACGUCGGUUGAAACCACCUGGCUAGAGUCCGGAAGAGGAGAGUGGAAUUCCUGGUGUAGCGGUGAAAUGCGCAGAUAUCAGGAAGAACACCCGUGGCGAAGGCGGCUCUCUGGUACGUGACUGACGCUGAGACGCGAAAGCGUGGGGAGCAAACAGG
rnacentral:rRNA from 1 species